CUUUACCUGUGCAUUGGGAGUGACAAGGCUUGUUUCCUUCCCUGAGAAGUUGAAGAUGUUCAUUAUGUGAGAUGAGACAGCCAGGUUUCAGCCAUCACUCCCACAAGAAACCAAGAAGCACUCCCUCCAAACUUCACAGCCUGCAGUGUCUUUUGCCAUUAGAACGGGGAUUAACGUGGCUAUUCUGGAGUUUGCCAGUCCCAAAGGCGCCUACAGCACAACUCACAAGAAGAAAUAACUGCCCCAAACUAGAGGAAGAAAGUGUUAAAGGGAAACCCAUCUGCCUAACUCCGAACAGAGCUUCUCUUCCCAAAAUUCAGCAUCUCUGCCUGCUUCUGAGUGCACAGUUCCCUGGUCCAUCCUGAGUUCCUGCCAAUUCUGGGAUGAUUUACGAUAACACAGUCCUCAGCUGACUGUGUUCCUCAUGCAAGGGCCUGCAGCCCCACACGGACUUCACAUGGACGCACAAACCCAAGCACAGGCAUGCACACAGCUGACACCACAGCCUCCAACAGUGAACCUUGAACCUACUCGGCCUUUCCAAUGGGAGUGAUUCAGCAGGCACAUCCGAGGCGGGCUCUCCCCACCCCAUCCCUGCAUUGUAGGUCCGCACUUGGAGGAUCUUCAGGAUCCUGCAGCUCAGGCUGUGGCAUUAGGGGGAGGGGGCAGGUAACAGGGAGGGAGAGGAGAUGAAUGGAGACGGGUCUGAAAAAGAAAUCAAUGAAAAGACGGGCUGCAGACGAGGGUCGCCGGCAGCAUAUCCAGCACCUUCAUGGGAAUGAAGAGAAGGCACCUGCUACAGGUAGGUGGAUUGUGCCUGUGGGGACACGUGAGAAAAAGCCUGCCCAGCAGCUCCGUACCGGCGACCAGGGCUUGGCAGAGAUGGGCCGGGCCACAGCCCACAGAUGCCCCUUGUCAGGCACUCUCAUGCGAGAUGGAAUCUGCCAAAGAACGUGCAGACCCAGGCUCUCUCUUCUUUCCUCCCCAGAACAUGGGGGAAGAGAAGAAAAUCGAGAUUUAUUAGUGAAGGAAGAACGCAGUAAAACAAGAGGGAUACAGAGGCAAGGGUUUGAAAGGUAAUGAUUCAAUUUUUCCAAAUCAUGGGACAGUUUCUACAUCUUUUCCAUAAGUGUCCCCUAAUCUGGUGGUCUGGUAGUCUAGUGGUAAAGAUUUGCACUCUCACUGCCACAGCCCGAGUUCAUUGCUGGGUCAGGGAACCACAUCACCCGUCUGUCAGUUGUCAUACUGUGGCAGCUGCGUGUUGCUGUGAUGCUGAAAGCUAUGCCACCAGGAUUUCAAAUACGAGCAGGGUCACCCAUGGUGGACAGAUUUCGGCAGAGCUUCCAGACUAAGACAGACUAGGAAGAAGGACCUGGCCACCCAAUCGCAAAGACAUUGGCCAUGACAACCCUGUGAAUCACAGCAGAGCAGUCUCUGAUACAGUGGCCGGAAGGUGAGAGGAUGGCGCAGAACCCUGGCAGCGUUCCGCUGUGCUAUGCACAGGGUUGCAGGAAUCAACUUGAUGGCACUAACACAGUCUGGUAGUUACAACAUGGCAUGAAAGAGUCAGCCCAGCUCAGGUGCACCACAUCUGUGGAUGAGGGCACACACGGCCGUGUGUUUUUUCCUUCCAGAGGGGAUCCUGGGAGCUGCUUUAUGUGUAUUUUGAGUUGCCUGCAGUCCUGGGAUUGCCAUUGUGUCACCCAGGAAAGCCAUUUUCAAAUUUGUUUUCUUCUCUAUUUCUUCAUCAGGCAGGGGAUUGCUUCUGCUCACAAAGCCACCCGUAACCUCUGCUGCUGGAAAGUUCUCUCAGCGAUUGAGGGCCUCAUUUCCUUCAGAAACUGGUCCCCACCCUGCCCGUCCCCCAGAUCACACACGGUCUUCGCCUCUCCCAGCCUGAAGGAUGUCCUCUCCUGGUUAAUUUCCCAGCAGCCGGCCGAGGCACAGCCUCCCGCGUUUGGACACGAGCUCAGGGCUAUCCUUGCCCAUGCCACCGUCAGCCGGCAGCCAGCUAGGCCGUCUAGUGCACAGGGCAGUGGAAAUUCAGCUGAUGAGUGGAGGAGUUCCAGUAUAAAUUUCCCCUUUCUCGCCGCAAUUUUAUAGAACUUUGCAAAGCGGCACAUCAGCACUUUUGCAAGUUGGGCUUUCUUCUGAAAAGAAUCAAGCCUGUCAAAGCUCUAAAACUUUAUGCUGUUAUUUUUAAUGGUUUGAUCAAUUACCCAGCACAUUUUGUUCCUGUAACCCUAUCCUAUACCAUGAGAAGAGAGUUAGAACUCCAGGGUUUCAGAAAGUCUGCCACGUCAGCCAGAGUUUUAUGUAACCCACCUCCUGUUCAGGGAUCCGCUUUGUACAUUUUCUCCUGCGUUCUGGGAUAUUGACCUCUUUAUUUUAUCCUGACCUCUCAUACUGUUUUUCUUUUUAGUAUAUUGGAGUAUAUUUAAGUUCUGCC
rnacentral:lncRNA from 1 species